GAACGCUAGCGACAGGCUUAACACAUGCAAGGUCGAGGGGCAGCGAGGGAGUGCUUGCACUUCUGUCGGCGACCGGCGCACGGGUGAGUAACACGUAUGCAACCUGCCUUGUCAGGGGAUAAGCGAGGGAAACCUCGUCUAAUACCGCAUAUAUGAUUUAGAGGCAUCUUUAAUCAGGAAAGAAUUAUCGGACAAGGAUGGGCAUGCGGGACAUUAGCUAGAUGGCGGGGUAACGGCCCACCAUGGCAACGAUGUCUAGGGGUUCUGAGAGGAAGGUCCCCCACACUGGAACUGAGACACGGUCCAGACUCCUACGGGAGGCAGCAGUGAGGAAUAUUGGUCAAUGGUCUAACGACUGAACCAGCCAUGCCGCGUGAAGGUCACGGCCCUAUGGGUCUUAAACUUCUUUUGUUCGGGAAUAAAGUGCAGUACGCGUACUGUUUUGUAUGUACCGUUCGAAUAAGCAUCGGCUAAUUCCGUG
rnacentral:rRNA from 1 species